rnacentral:lncRNA from 1 species
UCACGUGCCCUUGGCACAAUCUGAUGUAAAUCUGGGUCCACCGUCCACCACGACGGCACCCAACAGUAUGAAACAGUCUACAGACAACUGUACAACGAGCUCGGCCUCCCAACACGAGCGUAAACUCACCCUACACUAAUCUGAGUAUCCACCUCACACUAACAGCGGUGAUACAAAAGUACAGUAGCUCCCGAAGCUAAAUCUGAUAACUUUUUAGAAAAUGACAGU